GUUGACGAUGGAGCGCACCCUCGAGGCGUACCUGGGAUCCAUUGACCGAGUGGGUGAGAUCACACCGAAGAGGGGGACUGAUUAUUCAGGACCUGCGAGCCCGAAACUGGUUCGAGAUUGCUCCCAGCAAUGCAGCAAAAAAUAGUAAAAAACGAGGAUUCAGAACCCCCAUGAUGGUAAAUUUGUUUAGCCUGAUGUGCUUCAGCUAAGCAUGGCACAGAGAGAGAGAGAGAGAGAGAGAGCUUACAUCAGAGAAUUAUGAGUCUCCUCCAAGUUGUAUUCAGCGGGGGAGACGUUGACAAACAUGAGGGUCUUCGCGUUGCCACCGAGAG
rnacentral:lncRNA from 1 species